rnacentral:rRNA from 1 species
AGGCUGUGUCGAACCUGGGCCCCGCAAGGGGGGAGAAGUCGUAACAAGGUGGCCGUAGGGGAACCUGCGGCCGGAUCACCUCCUACGCC